CUGUGUUCCUAUGUCUCCCAGUGUCCCCAUGUCACUUAGACACUAGGGGACAUUGAGAGACAUGGGGACACUGGGAGACAUGGGGGCACU